CGGACGGGUGAGUAAUGCUGGGAAACUGCCCGAUGGAGGGGGAUAACUACUGGAAACGGUAGCUAAUACCGCAUAACGUCGCAAGACCAAAGAGGGGGACCUUGGGCCUCUUGCCAUCGGAUGUGCCCAGAUGGGAUUAGCUAGUAGGUGGGGUAACGGCUCACCUAGGCGACGAUCCCUAGCUGGUCUGAGAGGAUGACCAGCCACACUGGAACUGAGACACGGUCCAG
rnacentral:rRNA from 1 species